GAUUAAGUUAUUAAGGGCGCACGGUGGAUGCCUUGGCACUAGAAGCCGAUGAAGGACGUUACUAACGACGACAUGCUUUGGGGAGCUGUAAGUAAGCUUUGAUCCAGAGAUUUCCGAAUGGGGAAACCCAGCAUGAGUUAUGUCAUGUUAUCGAUAUGUGAAUACAUAGCAUAUCAGAAGGCACACCCGGAGAACUGAAACAUCUUAGUACCCGGAGGAAGAGAAAGAAAAUUCGAUUCCCUUAGUAGCGGCGAGCGAAACGGGAAGAGCCCAAACCAACAAGCUUGCUUGUUGGGGUUGUAGGACACUCUAUACGGAGUUACAAAGGACGACAUUAGACGAAUCAUCUGGAAAGAUGAAUCAAAGAAGGUAAUAAUCCUGUAGUCGAAAAUGUUGUCUCUCUUGAGUGGAUCCUGAGUACGACGGAGCACGUGAAAUUCCGUCGGAAUCUGGGAGGACCAUCUCCUAAGGCUAAAUACUCUCUAGUGACCGAUAGUGAACCAGUACCGUGAGGGAAAGGUGAAAAGCACCCCGGAAGGGGAGUGAAAUAGAACCUGAAACCGUGUGCUUACAAGUAGUCAGAGCCCGUUAAUGGGUGAUGGCGUGCCUUUUGUAGAAUGAACCGGCGAGUUACGAUUUGAUGCAAGGUUAAGCAGUAAAUGUGGAGCCGUAGCGAAAGCGAGUCUGAAUAGGGCGUUUAGUAUUUGGUCGUAGACCCGAAACCAGGUGAUCUACCCUUGGUCAGGUUGAA
rnacentral:rRNA from 1 species